rnacentral:lncRNA from 1 species
UAAUUAGCUUUUAUCUACCCCAGGAUUUAGUACAGUGCAUGGCACACAGAAAGCCCUGCUUCCUCCCGAGCCUCUUGGAAGAAAGAGGGCAGAAAGACACCGACAUCCCCCUUCUCAUUCCAUAGAAGGAGAAGCUUAGGCCUUGGAGUCAAGAAGUGAGAUACAAGUGGUAGGAAGAUUGCGGCAGUCAGUGGCUUUGGGUCCCCAUGAUCUCAUCCCCCACAGUACCUACCUCUCACCCUUUCAACUAUGUGAAAUCAAGUUUGGCCAGAGCCUCAGGAACAAAAGUCCCAAAGAAAACAUCUGCGCAGCUGCCACUCCUCCCCUUCGAGAUUAAUUCAACCAGAAAAGAGAUUGGGGGUUGGGGGGAGGGAGGGAGAAAAAGAGGGAGGGAGAAAAAAGGGAAAAAAGGGAGAUAGAGAGACAGGGAGGGAGAGAGGAAGAAAGAGAGAGAGGGAGGGAGAGAGGAAGAAAGAGAAAGUUAACAAGAAUAACAAGCUUGGAAAUAACCCGGCACAACUCCCUUCCUGUCUCAGGGGAUUAUCGGCAGGGCAGCUAAAAUGGGUUCUUUUGCAGGCCUGGCUCUUUCCCUUUUCUGGUUGUUUUGUGAAGAGGCAUUGAGCACCUCAAGCUUUCGGGAUGUCAACCAGACAAGCCAGUUAGGUCUACUCAACCCCAGCAGAAUGAAAACUGGGAAAACAGGUGUCCCAGCAAUCUCUGAGAGAGCCCGCUGGUCUCUUUCGCCCACUGCAUCUUCAACCUUCACCACUCUGAAAGUCCAGUCGGGCACAACCAACGCCACCAUCUUGGCUGAAACAUUGAACUCCAGUCCAGAAGCAACAACCAGGUCAUCUGUGUCCAUUCCAGAUUCAGAGACCUGGAUAGCAACUGCUACUGACCUAGUGACGGGGGUCACCUACGAGACCACUAUGUCCACUCUGACCUCGUGGAGAAAUGUCACCCUUUCGGGGGCAGAGACGACCCAAACUGAGCCCCAUGCUGAAGAUGAAACUUCACCACCAACUUCUGCCAUUACCGAGAAAGCUACCCCAAGUCGGCUGUCAACUAAAACCACUAGCCCCACAGAAAAAGAAACAUAUCCACCAUUUCCUGGUUCCUUAAUUACAGUCAGCAAGUCCAAGGAGCCAAAGACGAUGGCUCUCCUCACUGAGACCUCAACUUCGGGUGACUCCGGGAAAGGUAUGGACCUGACUGUGCCCCGGGUGGAGAUUUCAACUACGGCUAACAGGAUGGCGGUAACGGCGAUGACAACCACCAAGACCACUCCCCGCGCCGGGACGUCAAUCGCAGGCAGCCCCUCCGCAGAACCGGGGACCACAGGAGUCGGCUCCAAAACCUCAAAUUUAGAUGACUCCAGUGAAGAGAUCUCAACUGGGUCCCUAGCCGAGACCUCAACUGCCCAAACCUCCACCAUAACCAAAAGGGCCGCCGAUUCGGAGAAGGCGACGGUCACGACCACUUCACUCGCCAAGACUUCGAUUGUAGUCAGUAGCUCCGCGGAACCUGGGAGCGCACAGGUCUCCGGUGAAGGAAUUAACACGACGGGGUCCCUUGCGAGGACUUCAACCGCAGCCAGUAGCGUGACGGUAAUGCGGAAGACGACCACCAAGACCGCUUCCCAAGCCACGACUUCAGUGACGGACAGCUCCUCCACAGCAUUGCGGACCAUGGACGUACCCUCUGGAAUCUCGACUUCGGGUGACUCCAGCGAAGGAACGAUCAUAACAGCAUCCCCGACCACGACCUCAACCUUAGAUGAUGCAUCGUUGUUGGGCACAUCUCUGGCAAGUCAGAGACCCUUCUCGACUCUCCUGCCAAAGAUCUCUAGCAGCCCCACAAGACAACAGACCCCAACUAAUGAGGCCACCUCAACGGCGGGUGCUAAACUGAACACCACCGGCACCAGGCCAGGAUCCCAGACCCCUGCCGAUCUCGACAGAUGCCUUCCAGGCGACGACAGCGGUUUUCUCCUCCUGAGGCUGCGGGUGAACUCCCUGCUGAACCUCACCGACCCCGUGGUUGGGAAGUGGCUUCUGCAGCAGAUUCAGUCGGAUCUACGGUCCCAGGCCCCCUGCAGCCAGCUCUCCCUGCUGCACAGCAGAGCUGAGAAGAAGCAGCCUCACCGGCGACUCUCUCGGCUCUCCCGAAGAAGAGCUGUGCUUCGGGCCCGGGAUAGCGGGCGGUGAGAGCCCUGGCUUAAAAUCUCUCCCGCCCUCCCUGCCCCUGUCAGGCCACACUCCUGGAUAACGCUCACAGAAUCCUCCAACUCACAGAACUCUAGAGAGAUCAUCAUCCCAUCCAGCCUCCUGUCUCUGGGCAGGACCACCCAAAUCUAGCUCCCAGCUAUUGCCCGGAAAGGAUGUUCUGCCUCCUCAAUCGGUCGGUGUUCCCGUAAAGACGAUUUUAAUCCCCGACCCACAAGCUAGUGGAUAGAGCACGGACCUGGGGAUCAGAAGGACCUGGAUUCUAAUCCCAGAUCCACCCCUCGCCUGCUGUGUGAAUUUGGGACAGUCACUAAACUGCUCUGUGUCUCAGUUACCUUAUCUGUAAAAUGGGAAUUAAUAAUUGUCUGUCAAUUGUAUUUACUGAGUGCUUCUGUGUGCUUGGUAAGUGCUUGGUACAGUACAACAUAAUCACAGUGAACAGAUACAUUCCCUGACUGACUGGCAGAGCAAAUCCUUCAAGGGCCGGUGCUCAAAAGUCUGAUUGCCUUCUACUAAGAAUAAUAAUUAUAGUGUUUGUUAAGCGCUUACUAUGUGCUAAGCACUGGAGCGCUGUUCUGUCCAGCAUCAUCAGGAGUCCCCAGGGGCUGAAGGGAUGCAGUGUUGUUGAUGUUCCGAUAGCUGGUCUAUUGUUAUAUCGAACUCUCCCAAGUGUUUAAUCCAGUGCUCUGCACACAGUAAGCGCUCAAUACAUUUGAUCGACUGACUAGCUGGUCUACUGGGAAUUGGGCUGGGAUUAAUAUAGUUCAUCGGAUGUGUCGUAUAUGUGCUGGACCCAUUCCAGCAGAGAAGAGAUGUUAGGCCUUUGAGAAAUAAACCCUAUUAACGCAGACCAGAGUCUUCUGUUUCUUUAUGUUUGAGCAACCUGAGGAACAGCAUGGCUUAGUGGAAAGAGACCGGGCCUGGGAGUCAGAGGACCUGGGUUCUAAACCUGGUUCUGUCACUUGACCGCUGUGUGAACUUGGGAAAGUCACUUAACUUUCCUGCGCCUGAUUCACCUCAUCUGUAAAAUGGGGUUAAAAUGCCUGUUCUCCUUCCCUCUUAGACUAUGAACCCCACGUGGGACGGGGCGGUGUCCAAUCUGUUGAUAUUUUACCCUCAACCCCAAGGUUUUGUAGAGCACAUAGAACAGAGUAAGUGCUUAACAAAUACCCCAAUUAUCAUUAAUCUUCCUGAACCUAAUUUGAAACACUGUAGCUCUUUCUAGUCAGCUGAAGACAGGGCAUCAAGUAGAAGAGGAAAGCUGUAGCUCCCGGGGUUAGUAGGAAGUAGUGUGACACAGUAGAAAGAGCACGGGCCUGGGAGCCAGAGGACCUGGGUUCUAAUCCUGGCUCCCCCACUGGCCUGCUGUGUGACCCUGGGCAAGUCACUGAACGUGGGGCCUCAGUUUCCUCAAUCGUUAAAAGGGGGUUCAAUUUCUGUUCUCCCUCCUGUGUAGACUGUGGGACAGGGAAUGUGACCAUCGUACCUACCUUGGUGCUUAGAACAGUGCUUGACACGUAAUAAGUGCUUAAUAAAUGCCAUUAUUAUUACUGUGAUGGGUGGGCAUUUCCUCUCACCCUCUCUGAGAAGCAGCUCAGAAAGGGUCCUUGAAAGGAGGAGGGCUUGGGCCUCACCCUAGACCAGGAGACCAGGUGGCUGGAGACAGUGCACUGAACAGCACUAAACCAAGUGCUUAGUACAGUGCUCUGCACGUAGUACCAUCGUCAAAUACCUUCGAAUCGUUUCCGAUCCAUAACGACUCUAGGGACAAGUUUUCUCCAGAUGGUCCUAUCUUCUGCCUUAUCUGUGGUCGUUCUGGUAUGUCUUUCCAUAUUGCACAUAGUAAGCGCUCAAAAAAUACAACUGAUUGAUUGACCAGAUCGAUUUGGAUGUCUCUCCGCGAAUUGGGCUGCAUCCUGAGAACGUUCAUGUUCCAAUCAAUCUAUGCCAUUUAUUGAGCACUUACUGUGUGCAGAGCACUGUACUGAGCAUUUAGGGGAGGAUGAUUUAACAGCAGGCAGACUCGAGCCAACCCCGCUUUAAAAUGCUAUUUAAGUGCUUACUAUGUGUCAAGUACUGUUCUAAGCACGGGGGUAGAUACAAGUUAAUCAACUAGGACACAGUCCCUGUCCCACAUAGAGUUCGUGGUCUAAGCAGGAGGGAGAACAGGCAUUGAAUCCCCAUUUUACAGUUGAGGCAACUGAGGCACAAAGGAGGUGAGUGACUUGCUCCAGGUCACAUAGCAGAUAAAUGGCAGGGGUAGGAUUAGAACCCAGGUCCUCUGGCUCCUGUGAUUUAUCCACUAGGCCACGCUGCUUCCCCGGUCACUUCUCCAUCCUGCUAGAGCUAGCCAUCCUCCAACUCUAGAUAUUGCCACAGGUCUCCAAAUAAUAAUAAUUAUCGUAUUUGUUAUUAUAUGUCAAGCACUGUUCUAAGCACUGAGGUAGGUACAAGGUAACGGGUUGUCUUAUGUGGGGCUCACAGUCCUAAUCAUCAUUUUACAGAUGAGGUAACAGAGGCACAGAGAAGUUAAGUGACUUGCCCAAGGUCACACAGCAAAGUGGGGGAGCCCAAAGCGACCAGAACUACGAGAAGGAAGAACAGAUGAGGGGAGUGAGGGAGUGAGGAGCACGUGGGGAAUGCAGGGCCCUCUUUCCUCUCCCCACCAUCACAUCUCUCUCCUCAGCCGCCCGCUGAUCACAGGGGAUCUUCAGUGUGGCCUAUUGGUCACGGAGAAAGAGGAGCUCUUGAAAGAGGGGUAGGUUCCCGUCAGCACCGGUCGGCACCAAAUAAUAACGAUGAUGGUGUUUGUUAAGUGCUUACUCUGUGUCACCGUUUUAAGCGCUGGAGUAGAUGUAAAUUAAUCAGGCUGGACGUAGUCCCUAUCCCAAGUGGGACUCACAGUCUUAAUCCCCAUUUUACAGAUGAGGUAACUGAGGCACAGAGAAGUUAAGUAACUUGCCUAAGGUCACAUGGAGACCAGUGGCAGAGCAGAGAUUAGAACCCAGGUCCUUCUGACUCCCAGGCUUGUGCUCUAAUAAUAAUAAUAAUAAUAGUAAUAAUGGUAUUUGUUAAGCACUUAGUAUGUGCCAUCCCGGUGUGGACAUAAGCAAAUCAGGUUGGUCACAGUCCCUGUCCCGUGUGGGACUCACAGUCUCAAUCACCAUUUUACGGAUGAGAUAACUUAGGCACAAAGAAGUGAAAUAACUUCCCAAGUCAAACAGCAGACAAGUGACGGAGCAAGGAUUAGAAGCCAGAUCCUCCUGACCCCCACACCUAUGCUCUACCCACUAGGCAACACUGCUUCCUCUUCCUUCACCCCCUCCAUUCCUGGCCAUCCAGAGUGGGGUGCAGAAAGGGGGCUCAGGUUUGAUGUCAGCAAAGAUAGGAUACAAGAUAAGCAGGCCCGACCCAGUCCCCGUCCCAAAUGGGGUUCACCGUCUACGUUGGAGGGAGACCACAUAAACCCACAGGCUUGAUUCUUUUAAAUAGAGCUUUUAAUCAGGAGCAAACGGGAGCGUUUCUUGUGCAAAAUAGCAUUCAAAGUACAGUAUCUAGGCCUCGCGGGUAUAUGUCCCUGCCAAAUGUACUUUAUCAGGUGCUUCCCCAUGCAAGGCCUCUGAGAUGGUGUCUAUCUAUGGCUCUGCGUACUCGUCGUCAUGUCGCCGUGUGUAAGGCCUGUGUGUCGAUGUGAUCUUCAAUCAAUCUUCAAUCAUACCACAAAGCCAGAUUCUGUCAGGUUGUUCCUGAAGAAAACGGAGCUGUAAACAUAGAUGAGUGAGGUGGGAGAGAGCACGGAGGUGGAGGAAAGACGGAACGGGAAGAAGGUGAAGGGGGCCAGGGCUUGGCUUUCUGCCAAAUCAGGCCGGGUUUAGGCAACCCUGGUUCUCUGUGUGAGGGAGGGUGGCGGAGGGGCCGAAGGAGCCGGUGGGACCUGGGGGGCCCGAGGGGCCGGUGGCAGAUUCCCUGGCUUGACGCG